AAAUUGAAGAGUUUGAUCAUGGCUCAGAUUGAACGCUGGCGGCAGGCCUAACACAUGCAAGUCGAACGGUAGCACAGAGAGCUUGCUCUCGGGUGACGAGUGGCGGACGGGUGAGUAAUGUCUGGGAAACUGCCUGAUGGAGGGGGAUAACUACUGGAAACG
rnacentral:rRNA from 4 species